rnacentral:sRNA from 1 species
GUAAAAGGAGUACAGGCUAUAUUCGCCACGUCCUGUGGCAACGCCUGCAUGACCCAGUCGUGUGGG